UACGAAGGGGACUAGCGUUGUUCGGAAUUACUGGGCGUAAAGGGCGCGUAGGCGGCCCGCUAAGUCGAACGUGAAAGCCCCGGGCUCAACCUGGGAACUGCGUCUGAUACUGGAUGGCUUGAAUCCGGGAGAGGGAUGCAGAAUUCCAGGUGUAGCGGUGAAAUGCGUAGAUAUCUGGAGGAAUACCGGUGGCGAAGGCGGCAUCCUGGACCGGCAUUGACGCUGAGGAGCGAAAGCCAGGGGAGCAAAGCGGG
rnacentral:rRNA from 1 species